GAACCUUACCACCUUUGACAUGUACGGACCUUUAGAGAUAGAGGGUGCUCGAAAGAGAGCCGUUAACACAGGUGCUGCAUGGCUGUCGUCAGCUCGUGUCGUGAGAUGUUGGGUUAAGUCCCGCAACGAGCGCAACCCUUGUCAUUAGUUGCUACAUUCAGUUGGGCACUCUAAUGAGACUGCCGGUGACAAGCCGGAGGAAGUGGGGAUGACGUCAAGUCCUCAUGGCCCUUAUAGGUGGGCUACACACGUCAUACAAUGGCUGGUACAAAGGGUUGCCAACCCGCGAGGGGGAGCCAAUCCCAUAAAGCCAGUCGUAGUCCGGAUCGUAGUCUGCAACUCGACUACGUGAAGUCGGAAUCGCUAGUAAUCGUGGAUCAGCAUGUCACGGUGAAUACGUUCCCGGGUCUU
rnacentral:rRNA from 1 species